UGGGGAAGUAACAGCGUUUUCGUUCCAAUAUUGCUGCUCAAUUAAACCAAUGGCUGAUUGCAGACAAAGGCACUCUGAACUCACAGAUGGGAACCACGCCAUCCUAGCAGAUGGGCAUGAGCAUCCAGCACCAAGGAACACUGCACCACCACUGAAUAUCUGCCUUGAUGCCUGGCCAGAAAUGUCAAAAAAACAGCAGAGACAAAGAGAAGGCUGAGUUGAAAGCAUCACACACCUAAAGGAGAGUUUUUAGUCUCAUCCUCAAGGCUAC
rnacentral:lncRNA from 12 species